rnacentral:rRNA from 1 species
AGCAGCCGCGGUAAUUCCAACUCCAAUAGCGUAUAUUAAAGUUGUUGCAGUUAAAAAGCUCGUAGUUGAAUUUCGGGGUCAGUAAGUUGGUCGUGCCUAUGGUAUGUACUGGCUUUACUGAUUCCUCCUUCUUGAAGAACUGUAAUGCCAUUAAUUUGGUGUUGCAGGGAAUCAGGACUGUUACUUUGAAAAAAUUAGAGUGUUUAAAGCAGGCUUACGCUUGAAUACAUUAGCAUGGAAUAAUGAAAUAGGACGUUGAUCCUAUUUUGUUGGUUUCUAGGGUUGACGUAAUGAUUAAUAGGGAUAGUUGGGGGCAUUAGUAUUCAAUUGUCAGAGGUGAAAUUCUUGGAUUUAUUGAAGACUAACUACUGCGAAAGCAUUUGCCAAGGAUGUUUUCAUUAAUCAAGAACGAAAGUUAGGGGAUCGAAGACGAUCAGAUACCGUCGUAGUCUUAACCAUAAACUAUGCCGACUAGGGAUCGGAUGAUGUUAAUUUUUAAUGUACUCAUUCGGCGCCUUAC